UGGGGAAUUUUGGACAAUGGGCGCAAGCCUGAUCCAGCAAUGCCGCGUGCAGGAUGAAGGCCUUCGGGUUGUAAACUGCUUUUGUGCGGGACGAAACGGCUCUGGUUAAUACCUGGGGCUAAUGACGGUACCGUAAGAAUAAGCACCGGCUAACUACGUGCCAGCAGCCGCGGUAAUACGUAGGGUGCGAGCGUUAAUCGGAAUUACUGGGCGUAAAGCGUGCGCGGGCGGUGAUGUAAGACAGAUGUGAAAUCCCCGGGCUCAACCUGGGACCUGCAUUUGUGACUGCAUCGCUGGAGUGCGGCAGAGGGGGAUGGAAUUCCGCGUGUAGCAGUGAAAUGCGUAGAUAUGCGGAGGAACACCGAUGGCGAAGGCAAUCCCCUGGACCUGUACUGACGCUCAUGCACGAAAGCGUGGGGAGCAAACA
rnacentral:rRNA from 1 species